GACGUUGGGAGCAAGCGUUGUCCGGAUUUACUGGGCGUAAAGAGCGCGUAGGCGGUCUGUUAAGUGAGUGGUGAAAUCUCCAGGGCUCAACCCGGAAACUGCUUCUCAUACUGGCAGACUUGAGGAAUGCAGAGGUAUAUGGAAUUCCCGGUGUAGCGGUGACAUGCAUUGAUAUCGGGAGGAACACCAAAAGCGAAGGCAGUAUACUGGGCAUUAUCUGACGCUGAGGCGCGAAAGCGUGGGGAGCAAACAGA
rnacentral:rRNA from 1 species